AAUAAGUUUGAUUCUUGCUUAUUUAUUAGUUUUUUAAAUAAUUUAUAUGUUUUUGGUGUUAAAUGUGUUUAUUAUAUAAACAGUAAAAAAUAUUGUUUAAUUAAAAUUUUUAUUUAUUAUCAGUAAUUUAAUUAUAAUGGAUAAAUUUUGUGCCAGCAUUCGCGGUUAUACAAUUCAUUAAAAUUAAUAUUUUAUUUUUUAAUUAUUUAUUUUAUGAUUAUUAUAUUAAUUUUAUUUAGGUGGAAUUUAUAAUUUUUAAUUAAAUCUUUAUUAAAGUUUUUUAAAUCAUAAUUAUAAACUAGGAUUAGAUACCCUAUUAUUUAUGUCUUAAAAUUUUUAUAAAUGAAUAUUAUUAGUUAUGUUCUAUAAAACUCAAAGAAUUUGGCGGUAAUUUAUAUCUUUUCAGAGGAACCUGUUUUUUAAUUGAUAAACCACGAUAUUUUAUACCUAAAAUUUUAUUUAUAUAUCUCUAUAUCAUUGGAAUGUUAUUUAAGUAAAUUUUCUUUUAUUAUAAUAUUUUAUAUUAGGUCAAGGUGUAGUUUUAUUUAGGUAAAAAUGGGUUACUUUAAUAUUAAAUAUUAUUGGAUUUUAAUUAUUUUAUUAUUUAUGACUGAAAUAGGAUUUGAUAGUAAUUUUAAUUAAUUAAUUAUUAUGAAUUUAGUUUUAAUUUAUGUACAUAUCGCCCGUCACUCCCUUUAAAAUGGGAUAAGUCGUAACAAAGUAGGUGUACCGGAAGGUGUAGCUAGAAAGU
rnacentral:ncRNA from 1 species